GACGAACCGAGCGAACGUUGUUCGGAAUCACUGGGCUUAAAGGGCGCGUAGGCGGGUGCUCAAGUCCGGGGUGAAAUCCUCCAGCUCAACUGGAGAACUGCCUCGGAUACUGGGUGCCUCGAGUGUGGUAGGGGUGUGCGGAACUAUCGGUGGAGCGGUGAAAUGCGUUGAUAUCGAUAGGAACUCCGGUGGCGAAGGCGGCACACUGGGCCACAACUGACGCUGAGGCGCGAAAGCCAGGGGAGCAAACGGG
rnacentral:rRNA from 1 species